rnacentral:lncRNA from 1 species
GUAACAACGGUAAAUACAUAAUAUUUACCGUAUUACCAGUACUUUCUGGAAAUAAAAAAUUAUCAAAUAAAAUUAUAAUAUAACACCGAGCUUUAAUUAUUUUUUCGUACUCGGUUGAUUCUUCGGUCAAUAUUAUACUCACAUAAUAUUGUUUGAGAUAUUUUAAAUUUAUACCUUGCCCCCUAGCUUGACCAGAUGUCUCUCCCUUAGCUUGGUCAUCACACAAAGAGGCAUCCAAUAAUUCAUUGCAAAUAGAGUUAUCCUGGUUAACUCUACCAUUCACGGUCUUACCAUCGAUACGUAGGCCCAACAACAUGUAAACAUCCUCAAGUGUGACGGUACAUUCACCGAAAGGAAUGUGAAAUGUGUGGGUCUCGGGUAUCCAUCUCUCCAAAGAAGCAAGAAUAAAUUUGUAGUCAACCGAGUACGAGACUAUGUUGAGGAGAUUUCCAAAACCAUAUCCUCUAAUAUAUGGCUCUAUCAAAGGAUCGUGGGAUACAUAUUCAUGUACACGACAUCGAAAUCGUUUUGGGUCCUAAUAAAACAUAAUUAAGAAAUAAAAUAAGAAGAAGUAAUAUAAAAUAAAUACAAAAUAAGUACAAAAUAAAUACGAAAUAAGUAAAACGAGAGUAAAAACAUACAAAUGUCAAGAUAUUGUCGAUUAUUCCUCGGUGUUCAUCACCCAUGGUCAAUAGAGACAUAAUGUUGCAGAGGUUGAGUGUUGUAGAGGUUGAGUGUGGUAAAUAUGGAGUGUUGCAGAGAUUGAUUAUUAGUGUUGUAGAUGAUGAGAUGUUGUGACUUGAUGCCCUAUUUACAAAUGAGUAAGUGUUGAAUAGGUUGAAUAAGUACGCAGCAUGUGAAGCAUUGCAUUGGAUGCAUGUGACAAGAGAGUAGGCGCCUAAGGCUAUGACGCAUGCUUGCUUUAUGACAUGCAUGGUCACAUGUUCCAAGGCUAGUGGCGCAUGCAUGUAUUUUUUUGCAUGCAAUGAAGAGGCGCCAAAGGCAUGGGCGCCUAGGUUGCUUUAUGCGCCAUUGGAAUGGGCGCCUACUUUGGAUUAUUAGAGCAUAGAUUCCUUGUGAGAUUCCUUGUGUGCAGGCGUAUGUUUUGUGUGCAGAGAUUCUACCAGGCGCAUGCAUUGUAUUAUCUUGUCUCUGCAUGGAUUCUUUGCAUUACAUUGUCUUGUCUUUGCAGAUGAAUUGCGUAAUUAGCGCAUACACCAUUUACCCUAUUUAAUUGCUUGUGAGUAACAGAUCAAUGCAUUCACCAUUAGUAGAAACACUAAAGUUACAUUUAAAAAAAUAUCUUCCUCACCAUAUUACAUGAUCAGUGCCCAUACCGAAGGUGAAAUAUUUGAGCAUUAAUUAUUCAUUUUUUGUUUUCACAACACAAAAGUAACUCGGUUUACAAUAAAUCGACGAUAAAAUUUUUCACACCUGAAACAAAGAAUAGAAAAGAAAUUGAAGUGUAGUCCUAUGGGCCAAAUCAUCUAUAAAAAUCCGGUGUGGUUUGCAGACAACCAGGUCAAGUUUUAUCAGAAGAAGAUUCGAGAUGAUGACUAUGUUCAUCAUAUGUUUGUCAGUCACGAGCAAUCUGGGUACAACGAUAUAGAGUUGUAUAUAUUACCACAACAACAACAAGUGUCCCAGUUCAUUGAUCAGUCAGAAGUGUUUUGUGAAACCGAUGACGGAGAACAAGUUGAGGUCAAUGUUAUAGAUGAGGAAGAAGAAAAAGCCGGGAUUUUGGUUGAUUCAAUAUUGAACGCUGAUGAAGAAGAGGGAUCCAUUACUAGCUAGUCAUGUAUACUGUCCACCUCAACACAUGACAAACUUGAAUUUGGGUUCCGGUGAACCUUUAUCAGAUAUAUUUUAUAAUCCUUAUGUGCAAAUACAAGGAUCUUUGAAAGAAGGAGACACAUUUCGCACAAAAGAAUAUUGUGUAAAGACUAUUAAAAAGUUUCACAUGGAACUAUCAACUGAUUACAGAGUUGAUAGAACUAAUGCAUUGAGGUACAAAAUUUAUUAUCGCAACGAGCAAUGUCUUUUCAGGUUGUCAGCUUCAUAUCGGAAAAGGAGUGAUUCUUGGGAGAUUGGAUCCAUGGGUCCAUUUCACACAUGGUUGCUCACGAACCCAACUCAAGAACAUCGGAAACUUAGCUCUCAGUUAAUAUGCGAUGAAAGUUUAUUUGUCAUUAGCGACAAUUCGUCGUUAAAGGUAAGUACAAUAAUCUCGCAUAUUGUAGCACAAUAAAAGUAUAUGCCACCAUAUAGGAAGGUUGGAUAGCUAUGACAAAGGCGGUUGAAAAAGUGUAUGGAAAUUGGGAGGAGUCUUACAAACAACUUCCAAAAUACCUGUUGGCUCUUAACCAAUAUGCUCCAAGGAUUAUAGUCAAGUUGGAAACGUUGUCGGCAUAUACACCAGACAGGACUUAUGCUAUUGGAAAUGGAAUAUUCCAUCGUCUCUUUAGGGCGUAUCAACCAUGCAUCAAAGGUUUUUCUUUAUAUAAGCCUAUUAUACAAAUUGAUGGUACAUGGUUGUAUGGGAAAUAUAAAGGAACGCUACUGAUGGCAGUGGCACAAGAUGGCAACAACAAUAUUUUUCCAAUCGCCUUUACCCUUGUUGAAGGGGAGACUGCUGAGGGAUGAAGUUUUUUCCUAAGAAAUCUCUGAUUGCACGUUGCUCCUCAACCUAACUAUGUUUGAUCUCUAACCGACACCCUUCAAUAGUCAAUGCAUACAAAAACAUUGAUAAUGGCAAGUAGGAUCCUCCGCCGACACAUGUCUUCUGCAUCAGACAUAUCGCUCAGAAUUUUAUGCGGGAGAUCAAAGACAAAACCUUGCGGAAGAAGGUUGUCAAUGCAUGUUACACAUUAUCAGAACCUUCUUUCAAACACUACCGUGAAGAAAUAAGAUUGUCAAAAGAAGAUGCAGUACAAUGGAUCGACAAUAUUCCAUUGGAGAAGUGGACUAGGGCAUACGAAAAUAGUCAACAUUGGGGCCACAUGACAACAAAUCUUGUGGAAUCAAUAAACUCUGUCUUCAAAGGCAUUUGAAACCUACCUGUAACCGCUUUGAUGCAGGCAACAUAUUUCAGGCUAGGGGCGAUGUUUGAGACCAGAGGUUCCAAAUGGAGUUCAGUGUUGCAAUCUAGGCAGUUGUUCAGUGAUGCUUCAAUGAAAUUCGUUAGACAGGAAGUUGCCAAAGCAAACACACACGUGGUCACGGUUUUCGACCGCACUAAAGGUUGGUACAGUGUUGUUGAGUCCAUGGAUCAUAAUGAAGGCAUACCGAUGGGACAAUAUAGAGUGGAACUAGAUAGAGGUUGGUGCGACUGCGGAAAGUUCCAAGCCUUUCGUACAUCCUACUCCCAUGUCAUUGCGGCAUAUCCAAAUGUUCGAAGGGACCCAUCUUACUUACUAUCUGACGUUUACAAAGCCAUAAGCCUAUCCAAUGUUUACAAAAUUAGGUUUUUAGUAAUUGCAAAAGAGGAUUACUGACCUGAAUAUCAAGGGGACAUUGUCUGGCACAAUGAAGUUAUGCGAAGAAAGAAAAAGGGUCACCCAAACAACACCCAUAUUCGAAGCAAAAUCGAUAUGGCGAACAAAAUGGUUUGAUUAUGUAGUUCAUGUCGUCAGCCAAGUCACAAUCGUACUAACUGUCCUAGUGUUGGAACGAGCUCAACAAGAUAAUUUUAAAUGUACCUCUUUUGCAAUAUAUAAAAAAAAUUGUUUACAUAUGAUAAUUGUGUGAGAAAAUACCAUCACAAACAAAUACAACACAUUCAACACACAAGUAACACAUAAACAACCACAAAAACAACUACAAUAAUUAAAAUACCAUUACUAUAACUAAGCGAUUACAACCAUCAAAAUAAUUUUGAACAUAUUAUGCACCAUCUGCGAAUGUCUAUGUGGGUCUUAAUAUCCACUCAUUCACGCACUUCUCCAUUUUGGUUGAACGUAGACUCAAACCAUUGAAUCCUUCUAAUCCUUUAACCAUCCGCAAUUUCCUCUUCUAACCAACGGCCCAACGUCCGAUUAAGACUUUCUAACGACUCUAUAUUCCAAAGUCGAAUCUUUAUCGAAGGUGCGAUGACGGAAAAGAUUAAAUCGAUAUUUCUCUUGUGAAUGUGAAAAGACAUGGUUAAAAAUCAAAAAGAGAAUGAGAUUGAAGUAGAAUGAAAAAAAAUAUGGUUGGAGGGUAAAAAUUGUGUGAAAAAAUAUGGGAGAUGAGCGAGGCAUUUAUAGAUAAAGUUGUCAAUGCAUGCGCCAAAGGACCACAAAAGGACCGCAAAUUAGAAGCACAUGCAUGCGCCAGAAGGAUCCUUCUGGCGCAUGACACAUGCAUGCGCCAACAAUCUUAGCGCCUCCAUGCAAUGCUUUGAAAGCAUGCACCAAUGGUGUUGGCAUCUCCUCUUCAUGUUAAAUGGAUGCGCCAGUUGAUCUGGUGCAUCUAUUUAAAAAGGUGGUUAAUUUAAAUAACGUGGUUAUUUUUUUAAAAAAUUAUUUGAGUAUUUGGUUGAAAAAAUCAAACACAAUAGUCAAAAUUUUGCCGAAUGCUUUAUGUGUAAUAUAUAUAUAUAUAUAUAUAUAUAUAUAUAUAUAAUAUAAUUUGGAAUUUAGUGUACAAUUUAUGCAUAAAAUCCAAACUUGUAACAUAACUCUCACUAUCAUUCAAUGACUCGUGUAAGACCAUAAAUAAUAUAGAAGUUCAAAGAGAUACACACAUACAUUGAUACAUAUCCAUUUUCUACACUCCAAGCAAAAAUUAGGCAAUGUCAAUCUGCCAUUCUUAGAUAUAUAUCUCAUCUUAGCAACCACAUGUGGAGCAUGAUUAAAAGCAAAAAUGGAUAUAAUUUCAUUAUUAAACCAUUGUUUGAUUUGAUGUGUCAUUGUCUUAUAUUUGUUUUUUAUCUAUAAAAAAUUACAUAUAACAAACUAAUGCUUAUGAGACUUUCUAAUAGCAUGAAACAAGAAAACUGUGUGGGCAAUUUAAAUAUAUAUCUUUUGUAUUUUGCUUAAUUCUUCUAAUAUUUGGUAGAAUACAUUUGCUUGUUAAUAAAUUAAUAGGGAUUUUGUUUUUAGCAUUAAAAGUUAAUUGAAGUAGAAAUUUGAGCAUUCUUUGCUGUUAUGAUUAAAAUGGGGACAUGAUUGGUGUUGGUUUGCCAUAAAUAAAAACAAAACUUAAAUCUUGCCAAAAUAGAUUUUCUCACUCUAAAACACUAUAAAAAGUAUGAUUUUUAAGUUAUGGUAUGCAUUUAUGAUUGUGAUCAUAAUAUUAUUUUUUUGAUUUUUUUAAAUAAUUAUGUAUUUUUUUUUAAAAUUUAAAUUAAUUAUAUUUUCAAAAAAAAAAUCAAAGAAGUAAUUAUGUUUCAUACUAAAAGAAUUUGUCCAUAACAGGAGUAGUCAGAGGGUGGUGCAUGAACUCAAUUUUUGUAGAUAGGCGUCAUAGGGCAUGGUGCAUGCUUAUAUGACAUGCCAUUGCAUGUGGCGGAUGCAUCCAUCCUCUAGGAGCAUGCGCCACAAGCAGUGGCUACUAUCUUGUGUCUGGGCUGACGACAUGAACUACAUAAUCUCACCAUUUUAUUCGUCGUAUUCGUUUUGAACGUUUUAUUCUUGCGUUUAUUUUUUGCUCCAAACACGGGAUUGAUCGAGAAUGUCGUCACUCUCCCCCAUUAACGAGAAUAGCUUCGAGUUCCUCUUCACAACAAAGUAAGUUUGUCUCAUUAUUUCCACUUGCUUACUUUAUACUACAACAAACUGUAAAUAAUUUAUUUUCACUCUUUUCAGUUUAGAUGAUCUGUUCUAGGGAUGAAGUACAAUAAUUGUCCCAAACACAUUAUAAUAGUCUAUCAAAAACUUAUAGAGCACCUUGGACCAAACAAUGUAUUACAACUAAAUAACUCAUUAGAAGCUAAAUUUAGUUUUAAUAUUAUCAAUUUACAAAUCUUCUAAUCAUGUAUUUUUUUCUAUACAGUUUAUUUGGAGAUCGUAUUUGGGUCUCAACCAUGAGGUUAACCCCGAUGAUGUUGUAGUUUGGACUGCAAAAAAAACAAUCAUCAGGUUCAGAACUAUGGAGAUGCACCAGAGUGACUGUGUCAAACUGCAGUUCGGCAUGCAACAAUAAAUCCCUGAUCCUCCGACGUGUUUCGAAUAAUGACAUCAACUAAGAGUCGAUGCCCAAUGGAGUUAUUCCGAUUGGAGAGAGUUUGUUAGGGAGAUGUUUCAUCAAUUGUAGAAUGUACAUCAGCAAAUCAUAAAUAAACCUAUCAUGCAUAAUGUUAUACCAACUCAAAAUUAUAUGAAUUGGUAUAGGUCGUUUAUAAUGACACAAUUUGUGUCUGACCCGAGGUAUUUGAUCGACCCAUACCAACGAGUUUCGUCAUCAUACGACCAAUAAAAAACCCCCGCCCAACAACUAACCCCACACCAUUACCAAAACCAACAACAAUUUCAACCUACCUAAUCACAACAUCAUCAUACCAGAAACACCCAACCACCAAUUGAACAUGAUUACAAACCCACACACCAUACAUCCACCUAAACCCGCAAUCAAUUCAUGCUAGACACCCAAACACAAAACCAAGAGCAUGAACCUUACCACCAACAACCAUAUGCUACCAUCACAUCUUACUAUAACCCCGAUAAUGAAUAUGAUUCCACCUCAUCCCACCAUAACCUCAACCUAUGUACACCUAAACAUCACAUCACCAAAGCAUUCAAAUAUCACACCACUAAAGCACCCAACAAACACAUGCCUUUCAAACACCACAAGAACCAUUGCUUCGUUUCUAAAACGAUUCAAUGUCUUAAUUCAACCUACAAACCCUCCCAAAUGCAACCCAACUACGACAACAUGGGCACCGAACACGAUUACAGCAGCACCGACUGUUGGGGGAUAUAAUUGAAAAUUUGUUAGAUAUGUCAGGACCCUCGCACUAAUCCCCUUUGCCUCGGGAGAAUAUUAGGAGACCCAUAGACCUCAUAAAAAUCGCGGGAGACCUCGAAGGCAAGCGAAUGUGUUAGGGUGUGGAACCGGUGGACGUUACGAUCGAGCAAGUCAUUAAAUUUCUAUUCAAUCUUGUUUGAUAAUGUUUAAUGGAAUAAUAUUAUAUUUUUUUUAUUAAACAAUUUAUUUUAUUUUAUUUUAUUGUUAAAAUAAUUUAUAAAAAAACUAAACAACAUAGUAGCCACUGUCUGUUGCGCAUGCUCCUAGAGGAUGCAUGCAUGUGCCACAUAUAGUGGCAUGUUAUAUAAGCAUGUGCCAUGCAUGAUGACGCCUAUGUACAAAAAAUCAGUACGCGUGUCAUACCCUUUGACUACUCUUCUUGUGGGUGGAUUUUUUUUGUUUGAAACAUUGUUACUUUGAUAUUUAUUCUAAAAAUAUGGUUAUUUUGGAUUUUUUUAAACAUGGUUAUUGAAAAAAAAAUAAAAAUUGUGGCAGACUAAGAAAUGGCACUAUAACAAAUUUAUAGUGUGAUUCUUAAAUACGUUAAGUAUUUUAAUUGCAUUAGACUAUUUCAGACUACUUUAAUAAUUUUUUCACUAUUAGAGAAUGCAGGCUUAACUCAAAGCAUCGUAAAAGAAGCAAAAUAUUUUUUUUGAAAGAGUGCGUAUAAAUAUGACAACUGUGCUGAAAUAGGUGUACUAAAGCAAUCUACUAAUAAUAAAAUAUGACAAAUUAAACAUGAUUUCUAUGCACUACUAUAGGAAGCUUUUUCUACAUGAAUCGCAUUCACAUUAUAAACAUGAUUUUUAUGCAUUAUCAUAUGAAAUUUUUAAUAUUUAUUUUAUAAUGACCUUCUUAGGCAUACCGGCGCGGCGGGGGGGGGCGGCGGGGGGAGAGAGAGAGAGAGAGAGAGAGAGAGAUGUCUAACUAACUUUUUGAAACUUUCUCAAAUGCAAUAUUCUACUACAAAUUCACUUUCAUUUGAGUUUUAUACAAAGACUCAAAUGAAACUUAAAUUCAAAUGAAAUACAAAACCAAACUCAAAUGCAAAUGCAAAUCUAAAUCCAAAUGAAAUGAAAACUAAACAAUCAUGAAUGCUGAAUUACGUUCAACACCGUCCUUUAAUUCACAUUCAAGUUAAAAAUCAACAACACCGUUACAUCCCUCAAUUUGAUAAAGUGUUCAGUUUUGAUUGCCUUGAUCAGCACAUCUGCAAGUUGCUUAUGAGUGUUGACCUUGCGCAGAAAAUGAAACUUAGUAUUAAUGUGCUUGCUUCUUCCAUGUAUCAUUGGAUUCUUAGCAAGACUUAUGGAAGAUUUGUUGUCAAUCAUCAGUCUCACUGGUUUGCUCACCUUGAACUUCAGUUCUUGCAGUAAAUUCAUCAGUCGAACAGAUUAACAAGCUGACAAAGCAUCAACUAUGUAUUUAAAUUCACAUGUUGACAAUGCAACCGCUGGUUGCUUCUUAGAACACCGGAAAUGAGGGAUCCUAGAUACAUAAACAUGUAUCAUGUAAUGCUUCUUUUGUCUACUCGGUCUUCACAUCACUCAGAGUCUGAAUAACAUACUAGCUCAACAUCAUCUGAUACUCUAGAUGGAAACAAAACUUCAUGCCCCAGAGUCCCUUUUACAUACCUCAAAAUCCUGAUUGCAGCUUGGUAAUGUGACCACUUUGGUUUACUCAUAAAACUACUCACCAUUCCAACUACAUAACAUAUGUCAGGUCUGGUGUUACACAUAUAUCUCAGAUAGCCAACCACAUGUUUGAAGGUUGUAGCAUCUACAUCUUCACCAUCAUUAUCAGAGUCCAACUUAUGAUUUGUAUAAGCAUGUGUGAAUAUUGACUUACAAUUCAUUAGCUCAAAUCUCUUUAGCAUCUCAAGUUCCUAUUUCAGUUGGGGCACAAUAACUAUUCUCAUAAUGCAAAAUCUCCACCCUUAGAAAAUAAACCAUAUUUACAAUGUAAGUAAUAUCAAAUGCAUUCAUCAACACCUUCUUGGACUUGUCUAUCUCAGAAGUAUAACUCCCUGUCAGAAGUAUGUCAUCCCUAUAAAGACACGCCAGAAUCACAUUGCCAUCAAGAGUAUGUUGUAUAUACACACCAUAUUCCAUUUCAUAUCUCUUGAAACCCAGAUGCUUGAAAAAUGAAUCAAUCUUCAUAUUCCAAUUCCUUGGAGCUUAUUUCAGGCCAUACAAGGCUUUAUGAAGUUUGUACACCAUCCCUUCUUUGUUAUCUUUCACAAAUUUGGGAGGUUGUAACACAUAAACUUCUUCUUGCAAUGGAUCAUUUAGAAAAGCUGACUUUAUAUCUAAAUGUAUCAGAGGCCAAUUCAUAUUUCCAGCUAUAACAAUAACCAGCCUCAUGGCUUCGUGUCUAGCUACAAGUGCAAACACUUCAAAGUAUUCUAAACUAGACUUUUGUAGGAACCCUCUAGCUACUAACCUUGCUUUAUGCUUAACAAUUGAACCAUAUGGCUUCGAUUUUAUUUUGAAAAUCCAUCUUAAACUGAUGGCUUUCUUGUUCCGAGGUAGAACAAUCAAUUACCAUAUAUUGUUUCUUUCAAUGGCCUCAAGCUCUUCAUUCAUGACAUUUACCCAUACCUUCUUCUUGAGAGCCUUCUUAAUAUUGUCUGGUUUAGAGCCCACCAUCAUGGCUUUCUGUAUGGAUUUUCCUUCAGAAUUAAUCUCAGUGUCUUAUAAUAACUCAAAGUCUGCAAGAUUCCUUGGUAUCUGUCUAACUCACUAUGGCCUUUGGAACUAUGCAAGUUCACCUUCAAAAGCAGGACCACAUUCAGAAUCCCCGCCUUCAAAAUCUCUACCUUUAGAAGUUCUAACUUUAGAAGUUCCACCUUCAGAGGCUGGAUCACCUUCAGAGUCAGAUCCACCAUCAGAGUCAGAGUUACCUUCAGGGCCAAACUCACCUUCAGAGUCAGACUCAUCUUCAAAGUUAGAUUCAUCUUCAGAGUUAGAGUCAUUUUCAGAUUCAGACUCUCCUUCAAAUUUAGAAUCUCCUUCAGAGGCAAAAUCUCUUCCAGAGACAGAAUCAGACUCUAGUAUUGGCACUACGAUAGAGUUGGAUUGAGACUUGCUCUAAUCCCAUGUUUCUGAUUCUUUCUUUAUUACAUCUCUACUAACUUCAAAUUUGUUUGUGACUGCUCAAUAGAGUUUAUAAGAACUUGUACUGUGGUAACCUAUAAGCAACAUGACUUUGCUUUUGUCAUCCAAUUUCCUUCUAGUAGCAUCUGGUAUAUGUUUGUAACAUACUGAACCAAAUACCUUGAAAUGGCUGAAACUUUGAUUUCUUCCAGUCCACUUCUCAAUGGGAACUACUUCUUUUAACUUAAUUUUUGUACAUCUAUUGAACAUAUAUGUUGAUGUGGAAAUUUCUUCAUCCCAUAAUUUCUUAGGUAGAUUCUUCUCCUUCAACAUGCUCUUUGUCAUGUAAAUCAGAUUUCUCUUCCUCCUUCCAGCAAGACCAUUAUGUUGUAUAGUGUAUGGAGAAUUCACAUCAUGCUGAAUACCAUGUUCCUCACAAAACUUCUUGAACUUUAUUGAGUUGAACUCACCUCCACCAUCAGUUCUGAGCAUCUUCAACCUUUGUCCAUUUUGAUUUUGAGCCUUCACUUUGAACUUCUGGAACUUAGAAAACACCUCAUGUUUGAACUUAAUGAGUGUUACCCAUGUCAUUCUUUUAAACUCAUCCACCAAUGACACAAAGUACUUGUUCCCUCCUAGUCAACGUACCUUAACUGUACCACAUAUAUCAGAAUGCACCACACCAAAAGCAUGAGUUACUCUUGGAGGCAUUUCUGAUGAGAAUGGAAAUCUUGGUUGCUUGCAUCUCAUGCAUACAUCACAUGAUUUCUCUAGUGCCACAAUCUUAGGAAUUCUAUGUACCGGAUUCUUUAAACUCAAAUGCCUUAAGCUUCUAUAGUUCAUAUGCCUCAAUCUCUUGUGCCAUGACUCACUUUCCCCUUCAUUACUUAUUGAAUUAAGGAAUUAAGUGUUUGUUGUUGGAAUAUUCACCUUGAAUGUUAUGUUUCUUCCUAAUUCAGACUGCAUAAUCAACUUCCUAUUACAGUCAUACAACUUAAUAGAUUGUCCUUCAUGGUUACAAAAACCUUUUUCAAUCAGUUAACCUACACUCAUCAGAUUUCUAUUCAUGUCAGGAACAUACCAUACAGCCUUGAUCAGUAUAGUUUUGACAUUGUUCAACUUAACUAUGUCAUUUCCCAUUCCUUUAGCAUUAUAAUACUCAUCAUCAAUGUAACACCCUUCUACCCAAACGACAUAUUUAAAUAGAUUAUCAGAGUACAACAUGUAGAAGAGUUUACAUUUCUUACAACAUAACAAUUAUCGCAUCACAAUAGAAAACAUAUUAUUUAUUUUAUUAAAACUUCGCAGCGGACAACAACGUUAAUAUUAUCAUUCAUCAUAUAACAAUUCAAAAUAAUGGUUCAACAUUAUCUCAACAAAACAUCUCAACAUGUUAGUCAUCAUAAACAACGUAAAUAAUAAUCAAUUAUCUAUCGAAUCCCAUAACCCCGGUGUCACAUGACCAGAGCAUUUGACUCGACUCUGUAGAAUAACUCUACACUUAUUCUUCAAACCUCAACAAUAGCUACUCCUCUUUAUCUGCACAUUGCUCAUCAUAGAUGAACAUAAACACAUGCAGAAGGGGUGAGAAUUACAUUAUUAAAUAAUAAUAUAACGACAGAAAUAUAAACAUAAAUAUAUUUCACAUAUGCCAACACAGCUCAUCAUAAUCAUCAUAAUCAACAUACUCAUGAACAUCAACAAAACAACAUAUCAAAUGCAAUGCACACACCCAUGCAUGACUCAACACGACUCGGUAUACCCAUUUUGUGACCAACUACAGGAUCACCACUCCCAGAUUCAUCACCAUAGAAUCCGAGUUCCCCGCAAGGAACCAAGCCUCUCAACAAGCCCGGAGUCAACAACAUCAUUGGAACUCAGUCCGUUCAUCACUAGGCAUCGGCCUUUCAUGAAUGCAUGCACACCAAGCAUGCAUCAUAAUCAACAUAGCAACAACAGCAUCAUAUAGUCAUGUUAUCAUCAUCAUUAACACAUUCUAUCACAAAAGCAUAUCACAUCAUGCCACAUAAUCAAACACAGUAUUAUCACACUCUACUAAUAUCUAUACCACUCAAAGCAACGGGAAAUGAUCCCUCGUAUACCAUGCAUCAGCUAAGUUACCUCGCUCAGCCUAAACAACCAAAAACUGCACAACAACAGCCCAGGAAAGACCACAAGUCUGCCCAUACGCGUAUUGCCUAUGCCCAUACGCGUAUUGCCCACGCCUGACCAAAUCCAUACGCGUAUUGCCCAUGUCCAUACGCGUAUGCUACGCGUAUCACAUUCCCAUACGCGUACCAACAGAGACCAAAACACGUUCAAAACAUCAUCUUCCUCAUCCAUACGCGUAUUGCCUAGUGCCAUACGCGUACCAGCAAUCUCAUACGCGUAUUGCCUAGUGCCAUACGCGUAUGACCAGAAACCAGAUUUCCAGAUCUGCAAUGGCUUUUUCUGCUACGAGAUCUAUCCAAAUUCAUCCUUCCACAGUCCAAAUUUCACACAAAAUCACUCAUAUCAUCUAAUACAAAUAGUCCCCUAUUCGAUUUCACAAAUCCUAACAUCAUUGCAUAUAAUUUCUACGAAUUCCUUCGAUUAAAAUCCCAAUUUCGUUCAUCCAAUAUUUCACCAUUUUCAGCAUAUUAUUGUUUAAUAAGGUUCAGACCCCUUACCUCUUUGGAUUGAAGGAAGUUCUGAGCAAUCUUUGGCCUUUUUCCUCUUUCUUCUCUUCCUCUUCAGCGUUUCCCCCUUUUUCUGACUCUGAGGCAAAAUACGUGAAAACACUCUGAGUUCUCCCUUUGGUCUCUUAUCCAAUUUCCACUUUUACCCUUCCACUCUUCAUAUUCCAUUUAUUUUAUUAUUUAAUUAUUAUUAAAAUAAAUAACACCUAUAAUAAUAAUAAUAAUAAUAAUAAUUCCCGAUAUUAUUUAAUAAUUCCUUUUACCUUCCAAUAAUCAUAUUAAAUAAUAUUUAAAUUACUCUAACAAUAUUUGGGGUGUUACAACUCUCCCCCACUUUAGAAGUUUUCGUCCUCGAAAACAUACCUCAAGCAAAUAGAGCCGGAUACGACUCCUUCAUCUGAUCUUCACGCUCCCAAGUCAAGCUCUCACCAGCUGGACCUCCCCAAACAACUUUCACUAGAGCAAUCUUCUUACCUCUCAGGGUCUUCUCUUCUCGGUCAUCUAUCCGAAUUGGCAACACCUCAACGGUCAAAUUAUCCCUCACCUGGAUAUCAUCCAACUGAACAACAUGCGAAGGAUCCGCAAUAUAUUUUCUCAACUGAGAUACAUGAAACACAUCAUGCAGAUUAGAAAGCGACGGCGGUAAAGCUAUCCGAUACGCCACUUCCCCAACCCUCUUCAAAAUCUGAUACGGACCCACAAACCUCGGAGUAAGCUUUUUAGACUUUAAAGCUCUACCCACACCUGUCGUCGGAGUAACUCUCAAGAACACAUGAUCUCCCUCUUGGAACUCAAGUGCCUUUCUCCUCUUAUCAUGAUAACUCUUCUGACGACUCUGAGAAAUCUUCAUUUUCUCCUGAAUCAUCUUAACCCUUUCAGUCGUCUGCUGCACAAUCUCAGGUCCGAGUACAACACUCUCACCUGAUUCAUACCAACACAAUGGAGUUCUACACCUCCUACCAUACAAUGCUUCAUAUGGAGCCAUACCGAUACUAGCAUGAAAACUAUUAUUAUAAGUAAACUCCACCAACGGCAAAUAACUAUCCCAAGAACCACUCUGCUCCAACACACAAGCUCUCAACAAAUCCUCCAAGGAUUGGAUAGUUCUUUCAGUCUGACCAUCAGUCUGAGGAUGAUAAGCUGAACUCAACCUCAACUUAGUCCCCAACGCUUUCUGCAAACUUUCCCAAAAUCUAGAAGUAAAUCUGGGAUCUCUAUCAGACACAAUACUGGAUGGAAUACCAUGCAGCCUCACUAUCUCCUCAAUAUACAACUCUGCCAACUUCUCUAAAGAGUGAUUAAUCUUCAUCGGCAAGAAAUGCGCCGACUUAGUCAAUCGAUCCACAAUCACCCAAAUAGAAUCAUUACCUUUCACCGUCCUCGGCAAUCCCGUCACAAAAUCCAUGGAAAUGCUAUCCCACUUCCAUUCAGGAAUCUUCAAAGGUUGCAUCAUACCUGCCGGUUUCUGAUGUUCAAUCUUUGACUUCUGACAAGUCAAACAGGCAUACACAAACUUAGCAACAUCUCUUUUCAUACCAGCCCACCAAAACAACUUCUUCAAAUCUUGAUACAUUUUAGUUGCACCUGGAUGGAUACUCAAUCCACUCCUAUGGCCCUCUUCAAGAAUACUCUUUUUCAAUUCAGACACCUCAGGAACACAAACUCUACCUUUAAAUCGCAGGAUGCCAUUCUCAUCAAUCUCAAAAUUACCACCAUUACCCUGGUUAACCAUAGUAAUAUGAUCAACUAGAGCGACAUCAACUUGCUGACCAUUCCGAAUAUCUUCCAGAAUUCCACUAGUCAACUUCAGCAUACCCAACUUUACACUAUCAGCGGAAACUUCACAACCCAAACUCAUAUCACGGAACUGUUCAAUUAACUCAAGCUCCCGAACCAUCAUCAUAGACAUAUGUAGAGACUUUCUACUCAGCGCAUCUGCAACUACAUUAGCCUUACCGGGAUGAUAACUCAAUUCAAAGUCAAAAUCCUUCAGUAAUUCUAACCACCUUCUCUGCCUCAUAUUUAACUCUUUCUGAUCAAACAGAUACUUCAGACUCUUGUGAUCACUGAACACUUCGAAUCUGGAACCAUACAGAUAAUGCCUCCACAUUUUCAACACAAAUACAACAGCUGCAAGUUCUAGAUCAUGCGUAGGAUAAUUCCUCUCAUGAACUUUCAACUGUCUAGAAGCAUAAGCUACAACUUUACCAUUCUGCAUCAAAACACCACCAAGACCCAUCAAAGAAGCAUCACAAUAAACAACGAAGGACUCACCAGGAUUAGGCAAGAUCAACACUGGAGCACUGGUCAACCGCCUCUUCAACUCAACAAAACUCGCUUCACAAGCUGCAUCCCACACAUACACUUGACCCUUCUUAGUCAACUGCGUCAACGGCAAUGCCAACUUAGAGAAGCCCUCAAUAAAUCUGCGAUAAUAACCAGCUAACCCCAGAAAACUGCGUAUCUCAGUAGCAGACUUCGGAGUCUCCCACUGUAAUACAGCAUCAACUUUAGCAGGAUCAACAGAAAUCCCACCACUCGAAAUCACAUGGCCAAGGAAACUCACUUCCUUCAACCAGAACUCACAUUUAGAUAACUUUGCAUAUAAUUUCUUUUCUCUUAACACCUGCAAAACAAUUCUCAGAUGUCCUGCAUGCUCUUCUUCCGUCUUAGAAUAUAUCAAUAUAUCAUCUAUGAACACCACAACAAAAUUAUCAAGGUACGGAUGAAAUAUACGAUUCAUAUAUUCCAUAAACACACCUGGAGCAUUAGACACACCGAACGGCAUCACAGUGUAUUCAUAAUGACCAUACCUCGUACGGAAAGCAGUCUUCGCAAUAUCAUCUGACUUCACUCGGAUCUGAUGAUAACCCGACCGCAAAUCAAUCUUACUGAAAACAUGAGCUCCAACCAACUGGUCCAUCAAAUCAUCAAUCCUCGGCAAUGGAUACCGAUUCUUGAUAGUCACCUUAUUCAACUGCCGAUAAUCGACACACAACCUCAUCGUACCUUCUUUCUUCUUCACUAACAAUACUGGUGCACCCCAAGGAGAAACACUUGGACGCACAAACUUCUUCUCAAGCAAUUCUUCAAGUUGCUUCUUCAAUUCAACUAAUUCAGUUGCCGACAUUCUAUAAGGAGACAUCGACACUGGACUCGUACCUGGUACUAAGUCAAUGGCAAAUUCGACUUCACGUUCUGGAGGUAAAUCACUUACAUCCUCCGGAAACACAUCCUGAAAUUCACAGACAACAGGCAAAUCUACACUCACCACUUUCUUAUCCGCUUGCAGAGACGCAAAUAAAGCGAAUAUCUGAGCUUCAUCUUUCACAAAAUCCCCCACCUGCCUAGCAGAUAGAAAUCUUGCCUCAUCAUUCUCACCAACUUCAGAAAACCGCACCGUCUUCCUAUAGCAGUUGAUAAACACGCCAUAGAAUUCUAGCCAAUUCAUUCCCAGAAUAAUAUCAAUUUGGUGCAAGGGUAAGCACACCAAAUCAAUCACGAACUCUCUCUCAAAGAUCGUCAAAUGACAACCUCGACAGACAACAGAAGUCUUCACAGAACCAUUAGCAGGAGUAUCUAUCACCAUACUUCCGCCUAGGGACGACAUAAUCACACCAAUCCUGGUCGCACACUCAUACGAAAUAAACGAAUGAGUAGCACCAGUGUCAACAAUAGCAAGCAAUUCAACAUUAUUAAUCAAGCAAGUACCUUUAAUCAGAUUAUCUUCUUUAGGAGCUUCAGCCCCACUCAGGGCAAACACCCUACCAGUAGUAUGAGCUGCAGUAGCCGCCUUCUUCGGUUUCGAGCACUGCGAACUGAUAUGGCCUUUCUCGCCACAAUUAAAACAUGUCGGACCAGCAUCCUUACAUUCAGUAACUCUAUGACCAGCCUGACCGCAUCGGAAACAUCUCAGCACUUUCUUGGUACAGCUAUCAGCACGGUGGCCUGGCUCGCCACACUUGAAACAUUUACCAGCUAUGGGAGAUCCUCCCCCACUUGGCUUCUUCUCAUCUACCACUUUCUGCUUACCUUUACCAUUCGGAGAUGCAUAAGGACUACCACGAUCCUUAUUCUUCUUCUCACUAAGACUCUUGUAAUGAGCAGUCCUAGCCUUGCUAUCUUCAUCAAAUAUCCUGCACUUAUUAACCAGUGUAGGAAACCUACGAAUCUCCUGGUAACCAAUGCCUUGUUUGAUCUCGGGACGCAACCCGUUCUCAAACUUGACACACUUGGAUUCCUCAGCAUCAGCAUUAUUAUAAUGAGGACAAUACUGUACCAGCUCCUCAAACUUCGAAGCGUAAUCAGCAACAGACAUGUUACCCUGCUUCAGUCCCAGAAAUUCCAUCUCCUUCUUACAUCGCACAUCAGCAGGAAAAUAUUUCUCCAGAAAGGCCGUCUUGAACCUUUCCCAAGUCAUCUCAGCACCUGGUACUUCAAUUCUCUGGCGAGUGUUAUCCCACCAGUUUUCAGCCUCUUCAGAUAACAUAUGCGUACCAAACUGCACCUUCUGUGCUUCAGUACACGUCAUCACCCGGAAAAUCUUCUCAAUUUCCUUCAGCCAAAUCUGAGCACCAUCUGGAUCAUAGCGCCCUUUGAAUGUAGGAGGGUUAUUCUUCAGAAACCUUCCCAAAUUCCUAAACUCGUCGACCGGCGGAUUCUGCUGCGCCUGCAUAGCCUGCGCCAUAGCAGCCAAAGCCUCAGCAAUCGCACGGUCAUUUUCUCCAGCCAUACUCUGCACGACACAACUACAACCGUUAAAUAUCGACAGUGUCAUUUACACUAAUCGACCAACAGGGAAAACAUCACAUUAUGACUCGACUGGACUGACUAUGCUCUGAUACCACUAAUGUAACACCCUUCUACCCAAACGACAUAUUUAAAUAAAUUAUCAGAGUACAACAUGUAGAAGAGUUUACAUUUCUUACAACAUAACACUUAUCGCAUCACAACAUAAAACAUAUUAUUUAUUUUAUUAAAACUUCGCAGCGGACAACAACACAAAUAUUAUCAUUCAUCAUAUAACAAUUCAUAAUAAUGUUUCAACAUUAUCUCAACAAAGCAUCUCAACAUAUUAGUCAUCAUAAACAACGUAAAUAAUAACCAAUUAUCUAUCGAAUCCCAUAACCCCGGUGUCACAUGACCAGAGCAUUUGACUCGACUCUGUAGAAUAACUCUACACUUAUUCUUCAAACCUCAACAAUAGCUACUCCUCUUUAUCUGCACAUUGCUCAUCAUAGAUGAACAUAAACACAUGCAGAAGGGGUGAGAAUUACAUUAUUAAAUAAUAAUAUAACGACAGAAAUAUAAACAUAAAUAUAUUUCACAUAUGCCAACACAGCUCAUCAUAAUCAUCAUAAUCAACAUACUCAUGAACAUCAACAAAACAACAUAUCAAAUGCAAUGCACACACCCAUGCAUGACUCAACACGACUCGGUAUACCCAUUUUGUGACCAACUACAGGAUCACCACUCCCAGAUUCAUCACCAUAGAAUCCGAGUUCCCCGCAAGGAACCAAGCCUCUCAACAAGCCCGGAGUCAACAACAUCAUUGGAACUCAGUCCGUUCAUCACUAGGCAUCGGCCUUUCAUGAAUGCAUGCACACCAAGCAUGCAUCAUAAUCAACAUAGCAACAACAGCAUCAUAUAGUCAUGUUAUCAUCAUCAUUAACACAUUCUAUCACAAAAGCAUAUCACAUCAUGCCACAUAAUCAAACACAGUAUUAUCACACUCUACUAAUAUCUAUACCACUCAAAGCAACGGGAAAUGAUCCCUCGUAUACCAUGCAUCAGCUAAGUUACCUCGCUCAGCCUAAACAAUAAAAACUGCUCAACAACAGUCCAGGAAAGACCACAAUUCUGCCCAUACGCGUAUUGCCUAUGCCCAUACGCGUAUUGCCCACGCCUGACCAAUUCCAUACGCGUAUUGCCCAUGUCCAUACGCGUAUGCUACGCGUAUCACAUUCCCAUACGCGUACCAACAGAGACCAAAACACGUUCAAAACAUCAUCUUCCUCAUCCAUACGCGUAUUGCCUAGUGCCAUACGCGUACCAGCCAUCUCAUACGCGUAUUGCCUAGUGCCAUACGCGUAUGACCAGAAACCAGAUUUCCAGAUCUGCAAUGGCUUUCUCUGCUACGAGAUCUAUCCAAAUUCAUCCUUCCACAGUCCAAAUUUCGCACAAAAUCACUCAUAUCAUCUAAUACAAUUAGUCUCCUAUUCGAUUUCACAAAUCCUAACAUCAUUGCAUAUAAUUUCUACGAAUUCCUUCGAUUAAAAUCCCAAUUUCGUUCAUCCAAUAUUUCACCAUUUUCAGCAUAUUAUUGUUUAAUAAGGUUCAGACCCCUUACCUCUUUGGAUUGAAGGAAGUUCUGAGCAAUCUUUGGCCUUUUUCCUCUUUCUUCUCUUCCUCUUCAGCGUUUCCCCCUUUCUCUGACUCUGAGGCAAAAUACGUGAAAACACUCUGAGUUCUCCCUUUGGCCUCUUAUCAAAUUUCCACUUUUACCCUUCCACUCUUCAUAUUCCAUUUAUUUUAUUAUUUAAUUAUUAUUAAAAUAAAUAACACCUAUAAUAAUAAUAAUAAUAAUAAUAAUAAUUCCCGAUAUUAUUUAAUAAUUCCUUUUACCUUCCAAUAAUCAUAUUAAAUAAUAUUUAAAUUACUCUAACAAUAUUUGGGGUGUUACAAUCAACACAUCUGAUCUUGGUCCUCUUACCAUAUUUAAAAUCAACCAUCCAUUAUUUGUUUCCAGUUAGGUGAUUUAAGCAUCCAUUAUGAAUAUACCACCAAUCUACCAUUGAUCCACCUACAUUAUCAUAUGCCAUCAAUAACACAAGUUCAUCAUCAGAAUCUCCUCGACUAUGUGGGUUUCUUCACCUUUUCUAACCUUAUUUGACCAGCAAUUAGCAACAAAGUGGCCAAACUUAUUGCAACUAUAGCAUUGAACCUUCAUCUUAUCAAACUUCUCCUUUCCCUUCUAAACAUUCUUAUGUUUCUUCUCUUUAGAGUUGGAGUGCUCUGACUUCUGAACACGAAACCAUAGUUUUCUUGUUCUCUAGCCAUGCUUGCUUCUGGUUCUUCUUUCCAGAAGAAACUUUUAGAUUAUGCGCUUUCAAAGUCUGUUCUAUUUCUUUUUCAGAGUUUCUUUCAGUCAGACGUAACUCUUGUGCCUCUAAAAUACUAUAAAUCUCUUCAAUUCUCAUGGUGCUAGUUGAAGCUAGCAGAAAUAUACCCGAACAUAUUGCACGCUCGAACAUACAACUGAGUCCCCAUCGAACUUUAUUUAUUCCCGAAGGAAAGGGGAAACAUCGAUAAAACCCCGGGGAGAGAGAUAUGUUGGGUAAAGGAGUCAGUUAUGCAAGGGGAAGGUAUUAGCACCCCAAACAUCCAUGGUACUCCAUGGGAACCGUUUUGAUUGUUCUCGCUCGAAUGGGUGUGAUAUCUAAAGAUUACUCGUAAAAGAAUGAGGAAAAGGAAAGGAAUAGAUAGAGUGCUAAGUGAGGAUUGGGGCCCUCAUGCCUACGUAUCCUCAUAGUGCAAUGAGGAAUUCAUAGCUCGUAGUUCAAAGAACUAAUGGUGGGAGAUGAAGAGAAUUUAUGAUAAAGGUAUGGUCUGAACCAAAUGAUUAUGUGAUUUGAACUCCAACAAGGGCUGCAAUAUGAAUCCAAGAGUAAACUGGUAUGAACCAACAAAUGAGGGCCUACAACAUGAUAUCACUAUAUCGGAACAACCGAAAAACAAAGGAAUUAAGUGUUUGGUUUCAUAGCACAAACAUCUCUUAGUUCACAAAAAGGUACAAGAUGGAGCAUAAAGGAUAGUGUAUUUGGCUCAAAGAAUAAGGUAUAUCACAUGAAGUGAAUGAAGGUAGAAUAUGAAUGUAUCAUGCAGAUGAAUGGAAUGAAGUGACCAAAGUCAUAGAAUUGAAGGAUUUGGUAACAGUGGCUAAAUAGGUAAAAUUUAAAACCAAAGGUCAGAUGUACAUUGGAAUCCAUAAGAGAAAUGGAAUUUGUACAAUAGAGGGUGUCGCAACCUAAAAAAAUAGAAUACGAAAAAACAAUCGGCGAAAGAGAAAUGACAGAAGAGUCACCACCGUGCGUUAUUUAUCCCAAAGGAGGGAAAGGAAACGCUCGAAGUAAACCUGGAGAAAGGAAAGGAAAAGACAAGGUCUAGCAACCAAAUCUUGGGUUCGGGAGUCGAUUAUGCGAAGGGAAGGUAUUAGCACCCCUACGCAUCCGUGUACUCUACGGAUUCACUCUGUUGUUCUUGUCCUAAGGGUGUUGUAUCUAAUGUAUUAUUUACCAAAAGAGGGUCAAAAGAAAAUGACUCAACGGAUGUCGCUCCACGCAUACGUUACUUCAUCUGAAUAUGAGAAUCAGAGUCUUCGUAGCUCGGCUACCUAUGGGUGAAAGGAUGUGUGCUCGCUAAGACAUCGCGUCUUAUGCCUACGUAUUCAUCGGGAAUGAGAAUCAGAGCAAAACAUAAUUCAGUAACUACGGAAUAAGGGUCUCGAUUGCAACUAGGGCAAGAGAAAGGAGGUCUUGAUCACAAUAGGGCGGAGAAAGAAUCACAACGAGGGCGAAAGCAAACAAGGAUUAGUUGUUAGUUGUUAGUCAAACUCGGCAAGACAUCGCAUCUUGUGCCUACGUAUCUCAUCUGAACAUGAGAAUCAGAGUUGCCGUAGUUCGGCUACAUAGUGGUUGCCAUCUGAACAUGGACUUACAAAGGAGGACACCAGUUGUGUCAAAUGAGAGUGGGCAAUGUGUUCAUGUCCUAGCAGUAGGUGUCGCAGCUCGCUGAAUCGAGUCUUAGGCAGUUACCUCUUUGCAAUAGGACGGAGUGACACGCCACAGGAUCGGAGACGCACGGAAGGUCUAAAAGAAUGGGGAAGCUCUGCCCUAGAGUUGUCAUGCAAUAUGGACCUAGGUGUUAGGAUUUACAAAUGGGAACAUCUACCUAAUGUUAGCAUGCAAAAGAAUAAGGGAAUUCUACCUAUGUUAUCAUACAAAAGAAUAUGGGAAUUCUACCUAAGUUAUCAUACAAAGGGUUCUACCUAAUGGAUGCUACCUAAACGGAACAAGAGUCGUCAGAUGGAGCAAGGAAAGGAUAAGGGUAGAUGGCGAUGCACGAAGUGAUCGACUUACAAGGUAGAUGGCGAUGCCUGAAGCAAUCGACUUACAAGAGAAAUGGCGAUGCAUGAAGCAAUCGACUUACAAAAGAAUGGAUGAAUACGUGUUGGUUUUGUUAAGUUUUGAAAAUGAUUACUCGACGUUGGAUCGAGGUUUUGAUCUUGUUUUGAAAUGGUUAUCGGAUGUUCGUUUUAUUUCUUGUAUUAACGGAUGAAUAAAGAAUGAAAGAAUAGACAUUAUACACUUCAUGGGAGAGGGGUACAUUUGUUAUGAAUGGGUAUUGUUCAUGGCAAUCGGACAAUAAAAAUAUAUGCCUCAUACAACAUACAAGUAGGCCACAGUUAUCAAUCAAUAAGAUAAAUAAACAGGUAUAUGAUCAAAUCAAAUAAUCAAAGAAUGAAAUAAUGAAGCAUUAGACAAUGCAUGAGAAGUAUAAACAUGUUAAGCAAUCAAACAAUAGAAGCAUGGAUGAAAGAAACAAGUAUAGAAACUAUCAGAUGAAUCAGACAGAUGCAACUAUGCACACAAAGGAUCAAUGAAUAAUUUAAUCGGGAAAUGAUGCAAGGAUCAAAUAAAUCAAUAUCUUAUAAUAUGCCAAAAUCACUUAAGCUCGUGGUACCUUACCAUAUUUCGUAUUCUACUUAAGUACACUGUACCUUACGAUGUUCUAUAAUUCACUUAAGGGCACCGUACAUUACGAUAUUCCUUAAUUACUCUAUCUCUCAUCAAUCCGUCCUUUGUGUGUGACCCUAUAGGUUUUCGCGACAUUGGUAAUUAUAAUUAAGGGCACCGUACAUUACGAUAUUCCUUAAUUACUCUAUCUCUCAUCAAUCCGUCCUUUGUGUGUGACCCUAUAGGUUUUCGCGACAUUGGUAAUUAUAUUAAAUCACGUAUUUAACAUAAUAAAUAGUGAGCGGUAUCUAGCAACACAUCACUGCUACCCAAGACACGAAAAUGUCAUAUGAUCUGACAAAUCCUUCUGUGAUAAUAAUUAUGUGUAUAAUUACCCUUUUGCCCUUAUGUCUAUAUUGAACAUAAGGCAUAGAUCGUGUCAUCCUUGUCCAGUUCAAUAUUGGGCCCAUAGACAUUUAUCCCGUUACGUAGGAUGGGCAAAUUCCAUAUAGGUCACUCAUGUCCCUUAGCAUGCGUCGUGGAGUACCCAUCAACUGUCUUUAUGGUCAUCCAGUUACGAAGAACAUUUGAUCAGCAAUAAGGCACUCGACUCUACAUCUAGGGUCCAUAGUGGUUUCAGGUUGAAGGGUGGUAUACACCACUAUCACCAUGAGAAUAACUUAUGACACUUUGCAUAACUAUAUAGUAUUCUCAUAGCGCGGUCAAUCCAGUAUAAAAUAUACUCUUAAAUUCAUACCUAUGUUUUUAGGAGUCGGUGAGAUGACUGAUACUCCCUUAUCCAUGACCAUGAGAUGUGAUUCACAGGUCUAAAACAUAGGAUUCUUCAUGCUUUAAUGUUAUCCCACUUACAAUAAGCUCGCACUACGGAUACUUUAAGAUAGUGUCUCAUGAUUAAGUCACACUUGAUACAUUAAACGGACUAUCUAUUCCAGGGACUUUAUUAAACAAACAUAAUAAAGAAAAAGCCUUUUUAUUAUUAAUAAAUAAUUCGAUACAAGUACCAAAAAUAUUGGCCUCUAGGGCUUACACCAACAGUUUUUGUAUGUUUUUUAUGGGCCUUUGAUCUGAAUAUUGCACCUCUGUGUGCCAUGGUCUGAACCUCUAACUCACAUGUUAUGCUACUGCUUUGCUCUAUUGUUUUGUCCCCAUUGAUGAAUGUCUGCUUGGUUUGUCAUAUUCUGGCUUAAAAAGGGGAGUAGAUAGUGUGUGCUAGUUGUUCUCUUUAUUUAUUUUAUUUUAUAUGUGAAGGUUGUUUCUUUGAAGGGGAGUAUGUUUCCUGUGUAACAGGGGGAGUUAUUUAUGUGUUGUUGAUCAUGACAUUCAGAGGGAGUUUGAUUCAUUUGUACCAAGGUUGUUGUGUACUUGUUGUGAUGUCAGACAGAAUGUCUUGACAUUUUAUUUUAGAGAAUUAUGUUUGUGCUUAAGCUAUUGUGUACUUGAUCUGAUGUCAGACAAAAUGUCCUGACAUUUUGUUUUAGAGAAUUUUGUUUGUGCUUAGGCUGUUGUGUGCUUGCUAUGAUGUCAUACAGAAUGUCUUGACAUUUUGUUUCUAAAGAAGGCUUGGAGUGUGAGAGUUUAUUUCUCUCUCUGUCUUUUCUGUGAGGUUGGAUUUCUACACCUUAUUUCUAUUGCGUGUGCCUCUGAUAUGUCUUGGUGUUAUACCAAGUGUUUGGUUUUUGUGCUUGUGAUUAUUGUUGUUGUUUUAUGUUUUCUCCAGCUAUAUGAUGCAAAGGUGUUUUUAGCCAAAAAAAUUCAAAGGGGGAGAUUGUUAGUUUUGUGUUUUUAUGAUUGGAAGCAAUUUUGUUAAAACAUGUAUCACAACAAGAUGUUGAGCAAGAUGUCAUGACAUGUUGAUCGACGUCUUUUCAUGUUUUGUUUUACUUCUUGGAAGAUUUAUUUUAUUAUUAGAUAUCUGAAGAUUAUCUGAAUAUUUAGCUAUCAUAUUUUACUAUCCAAGAAGGUUUAUUUUAGGAACUCUUGUUUCGUUUCCAAUUGUGCACUUUUUUCAUAAAAAAAGAUGUUGAGACAUUUUAAGGAAACAUUAGAUCAUAUUUGAUUUGAUUCUGAAGAAGAUUGUGCAGAUUAGAUGUAGAAAGAUUUAUGGAUACAUCAUAUUUGAUUUUGCAUAACAAAUGUUGAAAGAUUCAAGGAAACAUUUGAUUUUAUUCUACAGAAGAUUAUGCAGACUGGAUGUCGAAACAUUUAUCCAGAUAUCAGAUUUGAUUUUGCGGAAGAUUUUGCAGACUGGAUGUCAAAACAUUUAUGGUGACAUCAAAUUUGAUUAUGCAGAACAAAUGUCAAAACAUAUAAGGAAACAUUUGAUUUGAUUUUUCAUGUCGAAAUAUUUAUGGAGACAUCAGAUAUGAUUCUGCAUAAUGGAUGUCAAAACAUUUAAGGAGACAUCAGAUUUGAUUUGAUCAAAUAUUAUGCAGAACAGAUGUCAAAAUAUUUAAGGAGACAUCUGAUUUGAUUUGAUUUGAUUUGAUUUGAAUAUGCUGUUUUUUAUGCCUAAGCCCAUGCUUACCAAAGGCUAUUUAAAGAGGACGUUACUAAACCUAAUAAAUAGAACUGAAAGUUGCAUUGGAAAUUGUCAUUGUUAGGGUUUAGUUGUCUUUUGUUAUUUGUGAGUCAUUCUAGUAUCUCUUUGAUACUUGAAUUGGACUGAAUUUAUUGAGUUGUAAUUGUAAAUCACUCAUGAGCUUUUAAGCAAGACUACAUUAUUUUCAUUGGAAGUGUUUCUUUUGUUCUUUGAUUCUUUUUCAGUUGUUAUCAUUGUUAUGUGGUUGAAGGGAAGUGAGAAUGGUCUCAUAUCUAGGAGAGUCUUAGAUAGAAAUUCCACAGGUAGUGAUUAGAUGAGAAGUUUUUAAAACUAUAGGUUGUUAAGAACUUCAAACUAAUACUAUUAUGGUGGAUUUCCUUCCUGGCUUGGAUGCCCCCAGAUGUAGGUGAUGUUGCACCGAAAUGGGUUAACAAUUGACCUGUGUUAUUUCCUGUUUUUCUGCUAUUUAAAUUCGAUUAUUGUUUAUGGUGUGAUAAUAUGAUGACCAUGGCGUCAUGACGUCGUGUACAACAUAUGAGAUCUACUUACCAGAAUUUCAGUUGGUAUCAGAGCAUGCACCCUAUUAUGUUUUGGGUGAGCUCCAGGGAGAUACUUUCUAGUACCAUGGAAGGAGGAUUUGUUAAUAGACCAUCCAUCUUAGAUGGCACCACCUAUGACUAUUGGAAGGAACGUAUGAUGAAAUUCCUAAAGCCUAUGGAUAAUAAGACUUGGAAAGCUAUCAUCAAGGGUUUGAACAUCCUGUUGUGAAGGACAUAGAUGGGAAGGUUACUACUAACUUGAAGCCCGAAGAGGACUGGUAUAAGGAAGAAGAUGACAUGGCUCUUCAAAACUCCAAAGCUUUGAAUGAUCUAUACAAUGGAGUUGACAAAAACAUAUUCAGGUUAAUAAACACAUGUACUAUGGCCAAAGAUGCAUGGGAAAUUCUCAUAACCACCCAUUAAGGCACAUCUAAAGUGAAGAUGUCUAGACUUCAGCUUCUCACUACUAGAUUUGAGAAUAUAAAGAUGAAAGAUGAUGAGAGUAUUCAUGAUUUUCACAUGAAUGUUCUUGAAAUUGCAAAUUCAUCUAGUACCUUGGGAGAGAAGAUGUCAUAAGAAAAGAUGGUUAGAAAAAUUCUCAGGUCCCUACCUAAGAAAUUUAAUAUGAAGGUCACAGCCAUUGAAGAAGCCCAAGACAUCAGCAACAUGAAAUGUAUAUGAACUUGUUAGGUCACUCCAAAUUUUUGAAUUGGGUAUUAGUGACAGAUUUGAAAAGAAGAACAAAAGUAUAGCUUUUGUAUCCAACACUGAAGAUGAACAGGACCAAUGUGACUUGGAUACUGAUGAGGGAAUGUCUAGUGAUAUUUUACUUCUUAGGAGACAAUUCAACAAGGUGCUGAAGGGAAUGGACAGGAAUUCAAGACCAAAUGUCAAGAACAUCUCAUCUAACAUCAAUAAGAACAGUGAUUCUCGGAGAAAAGAAAGAACAGAAGAAAAGCCCAAUCAAGGAAAAGGUAUUCAGUGUCAUGAAUGCGAGGGUUUUGGUCACAUUAGACCAGAAUGUCCCACAUAUCUCAAGAAACAAAAGAACAACUUGUUUGUUUCUUCUUCUGAUGAUUCUGAAGGUGAAACUAAUGAUGAAACUGCUAAGCAUGUUAUAACUUUCACUUGUAGAUAUAAAUCUAAUGAAGAUUCUUGUGAUGAGGAUGUCUCUUUUAUAAAGAAUUGGCUUCUUCCUACAAAGACCUUUGUAUCAAAAGUGAAGACGUGUGUGAGACAGGAGAAAGGCAUAAGAGAAUCAUAGCUCAACUACAGGCUGAAAAAGAGAAACUUUUAUCUACUGACACUGAUCUUGAAAAUGAGGUAACUCUAUUGUCUUCUAAACUUGAAAACAUGACCAAAUUCAUAAGAAUGUUGAACAAUGGGUCUGAUAUGCUAGAUGAAAUUCUUCAAGUUGGAAAAGAGGAUGGAAACUUAAAAGGUAUAAGUUUUAACUACCAAUAUCAAAAUAAACAAGGAAAAACCCUUGUGACAAAAUUUAUUCCUCCAGAAAGGAAGUGUGAGCCCAUGACGUCCGACCAAAUGUUACAUCAUCCUGCCAGACAUUAGCAAACUCAAACAAAAGUCAAGUUUUUGCCUUGGAAAUGUCAUUAUUAUGGUAAAUAUGGACAUAUAAAUCCUUUCUGCUACAUACUGCAUGGUUAUCCAAAACAUCCAACACAUCUUAGGGAUAAUCAUGUAAUGAUUAAAACUAGAAAGGAGUGGAAACCAAAGGUUGUUCCACAUGAAACUACUUGUUCUUCCACAUGCCUAAUGUCCAAGGAAGAUGAAGUCAAGUUGUGGCACCAAAAGCUUGGACAUCUGAAUCUUAAAGGGAUAUCUCUUGGUUACUCUACAAAUAAUAUAACUUGUAGAGUAUUUAACUCUAGAACCAAGGACACGGUGGAAUCCAUUAAUGUUGUGGUUGAUGAUUCAAUUAUUGUAAAAGGGGUUGAUGUCGAUGAACAUGUCGGAACAUCAUCUAAAAAGACCGAUGCUUCAGAAAAUAUGGAAGACAUUGAGUCAAACUUUGAGCCAGCAAGGAAUGAAUCAGACGCUUCUGCUGAAAUCUGAGCUGUUUGUUUUUUUGUUUGAUUUUGUAUGUUUAUUAUGGGCCUUUGCUAUGAAUAUUGCACCUCUGUGUGCCAUGGUCUGUACCUUUAACUCACAUGUUCUGCUACUGCUAUGCUUUAUUGUUUCGUCCCUAUUGAUGAAUAUUUGCUUGGUUUAUCAUAUUUUGGCUAAAAAAUGGGGAGUGGAUAGUGUAGAGUUAUGCUAGUUUUGCUAUUUAUUUAUUUUAUUCUCUAUGUGAAGGUUGUUUCUUUGAGGGGGUAUGUUUCCUGUGUGACAUGGGAGUUAUUUAUGUGUUGUGAAUCAUGACAUUUAUCGGGAGUUUAAUUUGUUUGUACCAAGGUAGUUCUGUACUUGUUGUGAUGUUAGAAAGAAUGUCUUGACAUUUUGUUUUAGAGAACUAUGUUUGUACUUAGGCUAUUGUGUACUUGUUGUGAUGUCAAACAGAAUGUCCUCACAUUUUGUUUUAGAGAAUUAUGUUUGUGCUUAGGCUGUUGUGUGCUUGCUAUGAUGUCAGACAGAAUGUCUUGGCAUUUUGUUUAUGAAGGAGGCUUGGAGUGUGAGAGUUUAUUUCUCUCUAUGUCUUUUCUGUGAGGCUGGGUUUCUACUACUUAUUUCUACUACAUGUGCCUCUGAUAUGUCUUGGUGUUAUACCAAGUGUUUGUUUUUUGUGCUUGCGAUUAUUUCUGCUAUUUUUUCUUUUCUCCAGCAAUAUGAUGCAAAGGUUGUUUUAGCCAAAAUUUGCCAAAGGGGGAGAUUGUUAGUUCUGUGUUUUUAUGAUUGGAAACAAUUUUGUUAAAACAUGUAUCACAGCAAGAUGUUGAGCAAGAUGUCGUGACAUGUUAAUCAGACAUCUUUGCAUGUUUUGUUUUACUUCUUGGAAGACUUAUUUUAUUAUGAGAUAUAUGAAGAUUCUCUAAAUAUUUAGCUAUCAUAUCUGACUGUCCAAGAAAGUUUAUUUUAGGAACUCUUGUUUCAUUUCCAGUUGCGCACUUGUUUCAUAAAAAGGAAUGUUAAGAUAUUUUAAGGAAACAUUAAAUCAUAUUUGAUUUGAUUCUGAAGAAGAUUGUGCAGCCUGGAUGUCAAAAUAUUUAUGGAGACAUCAGAUUUCAUUCUGCAUAACAGACGUCGAAACAUUUAAGGAAACAUUUGAUAUUCUAUAGAAGAUUGUGUAGACUGGAUGUCAAAACAUUUAUGGAGACAUCAGAUUUGAUUAUGCAAAACAGAUGUCAAACCAUUUAAGGAUACAUUUUAUUUGAUUCUGCAGACUAGAUAUCGAAACAUUUAUGGAGACAUCAAAUUUGAUUCUGCAUAAUGGAAUUCAAAACAUUUAAGGAGACAUCAAAUUUGAUUUAUCAAAUAUUAUGCAGAACAAAUGUCAAAACAUUUAAGGAGACAUCAGAUUUGAUUUGAUCAGAUUUGAUUUGAUUUGAUUUGAUUUGGAUCUGCUGAUUUUUAUACCUAAGCCCAUUCUUACCAAAGGCUAUUUAAAGAGGACGUUACUAAACCUAAUGAAUAGAAAAGAAAGUUGCGCUGGAAAUUGUCAUUGUUAGGGUUUAGUUGUCUUUUUUGUUAUUUGUGAGCCAUUCUAGCAUCUCUUUGGUACUUGAAUUGGACUGAGUUUAUUGAGUUGUAAUUAUGAAUCACUCAUGAGCUUUUAAAAAAGAAUGCAUUAUGUUUCAUUGAAAGUGUGACUUCUGUUCUCUGGUUGUCUUUCAGUUGUUAUCACUGUUGUGUGAUUGAAGGGAAGUGAGAAGGGUCUCAUAUCUAGGAGAGUCUUAGAUAGAAAUGUCAUGGGUAGUGAUUAGGUGAGAAGUUUGUAAAACCAGAGGUUAUUUAGAACUUCAAAAUAAUAUUGUUAUAGUGGAUUUCUUUCUUGGCUUGGAUGCCCCCAGAUGCAGGUGACGUUGCAUUAAACUGAGUUAACAAUUGACCUGUGUUAUUUCCUAUCUUUCUGUUAUUUAAAUUCCAUUAUUAUUUGUGGUGUGAUAAUGUGUUGACCCUGGUGUCGUGACAUUGUGUACGACAUCUGGGAUAUGCUUACCCUAAUUUCAAGAUCCAUAAUAGAGUCACCAUAUAAUAGAGGUAGUUACCUCCAUAAUAUUGAAAAAGAUUCUCGAUCAUCUUUCUAAUCUCGCAUCAUCUUAAUUGUCCAUCAUCAAUGUGAUAUAUAUCGUAACGACCUCUGACGGAGUUUCGCCACCGGUAUGUGUAACAAAGAAUCUCUAGAUAAUAUGUGGAUGUUGUAUCACACCAUAAUUCCUAGAUCGCGGCAAGGUAAACUAAAAUUUGGACGCAAAUUACUAGAGAAUUGAAGUAACUAUCACCACAAAUCAUGUGAUACUUCCUAGAGAUGCAAAGUGAUAAGUAUUAUUAUUUUACUCUACCACAUUUUGUUUAUCGUCUGUGUGAUCCACUACAUCGUCGGAACCAACAUCGAUCCCUUGUUAGCACGCAUAUUCCACCUGGAAAUUUGGCAUUGAGUCAAGCAACGAAGAUCGAAGUGCACAAAGACGUUCGAAGAACGAGGAAAUUCUAAAGAUCUUGAACACUAACCUACUAAUGAUUGUGGCAAUUUCCACCAUGGAAAAAAGUUCUUACAAGGUAUCUCGUAGGUAAUAAACUUUUGGCGAUGACUUCAGAUCCAAGGCAAUCAAACUCCCAAGUCUUCGUUGAGCAAAGUCGGACGUGCACGAUAAAAGAGAUCCUUCGACCUUCAGUAACUUGAUUGCUCGCUCUCAUAGAACAUCAUGGAUCACACCCUCAUCAGGGAGCAAUAGGUGGGAGAGGAACAUCCUGGACUCCUCAUAAUAUUGUAGCGAAACAUCAUCUAAGACGCCUCAUGUCAACAUUCUUAUCUAACUUAAUACUAGUCUUCAUCAGUAUGUAGAGAUACAGUCUUGUUGAGAAGGAAACCAGACUCGGCCCACACAGGUCGAGAAAGGAUCCAGUGGAGAAGUCCUCAAGACACCUCAUAUUCAUUCCGUAGUGGAACCAGUGUUGAUCGUUAAAUGAGGAGGCGAAGCUUGUAGUCGUGGUCUUGACCUUUCGAUGCAGCAAAGAAGGGACUGACCUGCAAGGUUAGUACUCCAAUGCUCAAGUUAGUAAGAGAAUAGAAAGUAUUGUGUGAAUGAGAAUAAAUUUGAAUACCUCUAUGACGCCAUUUCCUUUUUAAACAGGGGAAGCAAUUUGUAACUAAAAGGAUGGAGUGAGGAAUGAUCAUGGUCAGGUGUCAGAUUGAUAUGAACGACUAGUAAAACUCCAAUACGCAAAAUUGCCCGCUCCUAAGAGAAAAUAGUCUACCUAUUAUGCACUUCGUUCAUUUGCUUUAUUAUUGAACAUUUAUCAUUGAGUUUGGACGGCACAAAACACUUAAGAAAAAUAAUUAUAAAAUAUUAGAUUAAUUUUGAUAAGUGUCCUAUUUAAUUAAGAAAAAAUAAUAUUGAAUCAAUUUUAUUAAUAAUUAUUAGUUGAAAGCGAAAAAAAAAAUUUAAAAGCACAUUUUGUUUUGAAACUUAAAAAUAUGAUGUAUGAAUCACAUUUUUUAUAUCAAACAUUAGCACAUUCAUAAUUUAUAAUUAUUUUAAUUUGAAUUAUUUGAAUGGCCGUUAUUUGACACUUGAAUCCAACACCAAUGAAAAUAUAUUAACUUUUCCCCUUAAACUAGGAAAAGUUUGUAAUGUGGUAUAAUCAUGAUAAUGAUUAGAGUACACUGUCCCUUUUUCUAAAAUAGGAAAAAGAAAAUACACUAUAAUUUGUGUCCAUUCUUUUGUUGUUGAGUGUAGACUUUAACUAUUGGAUACCAUUGAAGUUAAAGGGUCAAAGAUUCCAUUGAAUAUGAAGAAGCCAUUGUUGGUCGGAUAUGAAGAAAAUGAAGGAGAAAGUUGCGGUGAAGUGAGUUACAGGUUGUUGUUGGAAUCAUUAUAGACAUAUAUCAUUCUCUUCAAGACUAGACCAGAGCCCAUCAUUUAUAGUAAUAUCUGACCGUCCUUUAAUCUCAUUAUUCUCAGAUGGAAUACUUUGUUUUCCAUUUUGUAUAGAACACUUGGGAAAGAAACAUAGGACACUUCUAAAAAUAUUGUCUCAACACUUUCCUAAAUUUGUGUCUCCAAAGUAAAAGAUGCGUGCAUACAAGUUGUAGUUGUAUAGGUUAUUAUCAUCUCACACUUAACUGCAAAUUAUUUCAUUAACAAAAUGAUUGAAAUCUUCAUAAAUGAAAUUCAAAGAAACUCUUAUCAAAGUAGAAUAUCCACAAAAAUUGCUUUCACGUCAACAACAUAAAUUGAACUCACGACUUUUUGAUACGUGAGUCAAUUUUUUUAUCAGUUAAGUCAAUUUUUCUUAAUAUUUAUGGAUCAUUUAUAUAUACUCGAAAUUUUUUACUUUUAAAUUAAUUGAAAAUGAACUAAAUAUAUAGUUAAACUUUUUUAAUAAUAAAUAGUAAAGAAAGUAUUAUAUAAAAAGAUUAAUUAAUACAACGAAUUCUAUAAAAAUAUUACCUGUGUUAUUUGUAUCACAUAUUGGACACAUUUCUCAUUAGCUCUCAUUUUAAGGUUGAGAAUUCAAAAAUAUUUUUUUUGUAAAACACUUCUCGCCAAAUUUUUAACGUUGUAUAGUUUUUUACGGGUCUCUUAAAAGGUUUUAAAGUCCUUGGAUUUCUAAUUGACUAUGAAUAAUUAUUCUGGCAUUGGCAAGGGGUGUUGGUUCCACCAAUGCCUCUAUCCUUUGCAUCCCUUGGUCUAUUUUCUUUAUCGUCUUCCUCACAUUUUAUAUAACACUCGGACCUUACCAUUAAUUCUUUCAUUUGAGUCUGCAUGGUUUUUAGCCGAGAAACUCGUUCAUGUUUUUAGCCUAGUACAUUUUAAAAGGAUUUAUGAGCAUCUCCUAAUUUGAGCGAUGGAUUCGUUGAAAUUCCCUUUCUGUUUCUCUCAUCAAUUAUCAUCCCCACUUAUUAGACUCGUUUCUCAUAACCUCCCACUUAGAGGUUGGGGAUUCGGGAAUAUUCUUGGUGUGAAACACUUCUCGCCAGGUAUUUACCAACGUGUAGUUUUCUACGAGUCUUUUAGGAGGUUUAAAAGUUUCUGGAACUUUGAUUGACUAUGAAUAAUUAUUCUUGCGUUGACUAGAGAUGUUGAUUCCACCAAUGCUUCUCUCCUUCGCAUCCCUUGCUCUAUUUUCGUUGUUUCCUUCCUCAAACUUCAUAUAAUACUUAACUCUUACCAUUUUUUCUUUCAUUUGAGUUUGCAUUUUUUUUUUGCCAAUGAACUCGUUGAAAUUUUUAGUUGAGUCCAUUUUAAAAGGAUUUAUGAACAUCUCCUAAUUUGUGCGAGAGAUUCGUUGAAAUUUCCUUUAUGUUUCUCUCAUCAAUUAUCACCCCCCACCCCGAAUCUUAAAUAGUUGUCAAGUCAGAGGAGCUCGUUAAAAUUUUUAGUUAAGUCCAUUUUAAAAGGAUAUAUGAACAUCUUCUAAUUUGAGUGAGGGAUUCAUUGAAACUCCAUAUGUGUUUCUCUCAUCAAUUAUCAUGCCCACCCGUCAUCCCAUUGUUUGGACUCAUUUCUCAUAACCUCUCACUUAGAGGUUGGGGAUUCGAGAAUAUUCUAGUUGUGAAACACUUAUUGCCAAGUAUUUAAUAGCAUGUAAUUUUCCACGGGUCUUUUAGGAGGUUUGAAUGUCUCAGGAUCUCUGAUUGAUUAUGAAUAAUUAUUCUUGCGUUGAUUAGGAUUGUCGAUUCCACACCAAUGUUUCUCUCCUUCGCAUUUCUUGUUCUAUUUUCUUUGUUUCCUUCCUCACGCAUUAUAUAAUACUCAACUCUCACCAUUAUAUCUUUCAUUUGAGUAUGCAAGUUUGUUUGUUGAGGAACUCGUUGAAUUUUUUAGCCGAGUCCAUUUUAAAAAUAGAUAUAAACAUCUCCUAAUUUGAGCGAGAGAUUCGUUGAUUCUCAUCAAUUAUCAUUAUCCUUCUUCCCUUAGUGUGAUAUAAUCCAACUUAGCUACUUGGUUAGCAAGUUAGUUAGUUUGUUAUGCUAGCUACUUUGAUUAUAAUAUUGUAUAUAAAUACUUGUGUAGAUAACUCUCAUUAUAACAAUUAAAUACAAUUACUUUUCACUCUCUCUCUCUCUCUCUCUCUCUCUCUCUCUCUAUAUAUAUAAUAUAUAUAUAUAUAUAUAUAUAUAUCCUUCCUCACCCAAGAGCAUUGGCACUAAGAUUGUGAUGAGUUGAAACAUUACGAUGAUGAGAACCCUGUUUGGGAUUGGAAUUCAUGUGAUGCAACUAACAAGCCAUUGAUGAGUUAUGGCGUUGAUGAAGAAAGUAGUGAGGAUGAAUAAAUUCCACUUAAUUAUAUUCCAGUCAAAGUCGAAGUAGACAAUAGAGAUUGUGCGGCUAGCACAAGGCAGAGACUUCAAAAAACUAGAGUUCUCCCAGCAAGACUUUAAGACUCCGAAGUGGUUGGUGAUGAUGAAGGCACAUCAUAUGGACAUUUGAUUCAUUUCACUUUAUUUGUAGGUACUGAACCAAUCAACUAUAGUGAGGUCUUAAAGAAUAAACAUUAGAAGACAUCUAUGGAUGAAAAGAUAUAAUCGUUCGAAAGAAACAAUACAUGGAAAUUAAUCGAAUUUCCAAACACACAAAAGCUAUCAAAGUAAAAUGGAUGUUCAAGAUGAAGCACAAUCCUUAUAGAUCGAUUUCAAGGCAUAAAGCAAGAUUAGUAGCUCGAUGAUUUAUUCAGAGAGCAGGACUCGAUAGUAUAUGCAAUAUAGCAAGAUUAGAGACUGUCAUAUUGGUGGCAGUCUUGGCAUGCAAGCAAGGCUGGUCGACAUUUCACUUAGAUGUGAAAUUAAAAAAUUUGAAUGGUCCCCUAGAUGACGUCGUGUAUGUCACACAACCUCCUGGGUUUGUGAUAUAGGAGGAAGUAAUGAAAAUGUACAAGUUGCAACAAAAAAACCUUUAUGGUCUCAAACAAGAACCUAGGGAAUGGAACAAGUAAAUCGACUCAUACUUAGUCGAGUUGGGAUUCAUAAAAUGCAGGUUUGAGUAUGGUGUCUAUGUAUAAGUCAUGGCACAAGAUAUAAUCAUCAUUUAUGCUUAUAUAUCGAUGACUUGCUAGUAACUAGAAAUAUAAUGGAGAACUUGUCGAAGUUCAAAGAGCUUAUGGAGAGGGGAUUUGAAAUGUCGGAUCUAGGAAACCUGUCGUAUUUCUUAGGCAUGGAAUUUCAAAUUACCAAGCAAGGCAUGGUUUUGCAAUAAAUAAAUCUCUGGUGCUGCAGAUCAAUGAUAAGUCAGUCAUCAAUCUUGCAAAGAGUUCAUUUCUGCAUGGAAGAAUAAGUACAUUGAAGCUAUAUUUCACUUCUUGAUGGAGAAGAUAAAUUCAGGUGAACUUGAAGUUUGCUUGAGGGAAGCACAACUGACCGACAAACUCACCAAAUAAUUGAAGUCGAUAAGUUUCUGACUUUUAGAAAAAAAUUAGGAAUAAUUCAAAUCGACUAUGAUUAGUUUGUGUUUGACAACUUGAAUUAUAAGGGGAUAUGUUGUGAUAUAAUCCAAGUUAGAUAUUUGGUUAACAAGUUAUUUAAUUUGUUAUGCUAACUACUUAGGUUACAAGUAACUUGUUGUAUAAUCAUGUAUAAAUAACUCUCACCGUAACACAAUUACUUUUCAUUCUCUCUAAUUCCUUUCUAACUCAAGUGACACUAACAUCAUUUCAUGAGUGUCAAGCUUAUCAUAAUUAAGCUUAGUUGAUAAAAAAUAACUAUUUUAUUUUUAAAUUGAAUGAAUGUUUUAAAAGAAGAACAGUAGAAAAGAACUCAACAAGGUUCUAUAUUAAAGAAAAGGUGAGUAAUACUCUGAAACGGGGAAUAAUAUUCUUAAAGUGACUUUGAACUACUAUUUUCAUGAAAUAAUUAUUAAUUAAUAUCACAUACACAUAUAUAAUAACUCAAUAUACCCAAUAUCAAAUUUUCUAAUUAAAAAAAAAUCAAUUUUUAAAUUUAAAAAUAAAUGUUGACGAUUGUCCCAAAGACAAUAAUUUAAAAUACUAACUUUUUGUUGAAAUUUGUACUAGACAGUUGAAAUCCUUAACUUUAUUAAAUACUUAAUUUUGAAUUCUUAAAGAAUAGUCUUAAUAUAUUUGUCGUUAAAACACUUAUUUAGAAUUAUAUACUCUUAAAAAAAGGUAUUUACUCGAAUCUCUUCACACUUCGUAGAAUCCAUUGAGAUUCUAAUGUGCCUCGCUUUUAUAGGAAUGACCCAUUCCAUUAUGUUUGCAUUUGUGAUCGUUCAUGAACGCGUAGGUGUUCGCUUUCUCCAAAGUUUGGGACUCAAACCAUUAAAUGACUAUAAAAUUAUCUUACUCAUAUAAGGAUUUGAUUUUAAUUUACUGCUAGCUAGUAUAAAAUAUUAUCGUCUAAUUAUUUAUAUUCACAUCCCUGAGAAAACUAUUAUUAUACUUUUAUUUUAAAAAGCAUUCGACAAAUCUAAAUCUAAUAGACACCAUAAAAUUAAAAAGUUAUUGUCCUAGAAUUAAACCUUUCUUAAUAAUGUAUGAACAUGGUAGUCCAAAUAUCUUUGUAUCAAUGUUGAUACUCCUCCACUGAAAUUUUGAAUUUAAAUUUAAUAAAAGCAUAGUUUGGUGUGAAUAUGAUAUAUGAUUGGGACCGUUCCUUUCACCUUGGUACUCUUUCCUUGUGUACUUAUGUCCUAAAAAGAAGAUUCUGAAAUUGCAGUGUGUUGUGUAUCUAUCUUAGAGUGGGACACACAUGGUUUUUGUGCUGUACAGCUUAGAUUGCAAUUUAAAGAGUUGUGUCUAUCAUGAGUUGUGUCUAUCAUUGGCCUUACUUUACUACCCUAUCUAUCUCCACUCGUCACGCUUUCUACUUCUUAUCUUCAAAAUCAUCACUCCUUACUAUAUAUGAAAGGUCUUCACAAUCUUUGCUUGUAUUAGUUAGUGGAUUUUAAGAGUGUUUAUAUAAUAUAAAUAUGAUUUGGAGAUUGGAGUGUCAAAUUUUAUAAAAUAAAGGAAUAUGUAAUAUAACAAUGUUAAUUUCUUUUGAGAAAAAGUUUUAUCAUUUAUUGUGAUUUUUUUUUUGUUUAAAGAGAAAAUUUAUGCAGUAGUGGGUAAAGGAUAUACAGUGUUUCGAGCUAGUCGAAUGACAACCUUAUCUAGAACCCCUUCACUUAAGAUCGGAGGAUAAAUGGACUCUUGUUAGAAAGAUGUACAUCGAAGCUGAGCCAGUUGCUCUUCUUCAACCAUCAGGUCCAAUCCAAUGGUCUCUUGCACCCCACGUCGCGCCUAUAGUAGAUGUGGUUUCAACUGUCCACCACAUAUAAAUUUGUCUAGGCACUAUAACAGGUACAUUUUCCAUUCACUCUUACACCAUUAUCAUCUCACUGACUUCGGCGUUUGAGUAUCAACCUUGUAUGCAUACUCUGUUUCAUCUUACCAAAGGCUUACGUCACUGUAUCAGAGAGUUUUGGUUCAACACGUCAUCAAUCUUCUAAUCCAUAUCGAAAUAGUGACACCAUCUAUGGGAAACAUUUUUUAAUUCCCAUUAUUUUUCACAUUAAAUUCACCAUAUCCUUUAUGUUGUGUCGUGGUAACCAGUAUUGUCAAUCGAUCACAUUGUCGUUAAUUUUCUCAACUAAUAGUGAUACCUUCCAAAUAAUCUCAAUUAACUACUCAUAGCAACACUGACCCUACCGCCGUUCCUCACCCCCACACAAGAGGUUCUCCCUCCUUCAGUUGGGGGAGGUGAUCUGGUUCUAGUAGAGUCUUCGGCCGUUUCAUCUCCUCAGACUCUAAUUCCUCUACCGGCCGACCAAGGUACUUUCUAGGUCAUAUCGUUCUUCCAACCUUUUUCAAUAGUUACUCUAAGACCAAACUUCUAAGUAUCCUCAACUGCAAGCACAAACACCUAAACCAAAAAUGUUUUAGAGCCUUCAACAACUUCAUGUCAUACUAGAAAUUCAAGAAGUGAAUUAACUCAUCACAAUUAUUUAGAAUCUAGUGCAGCAAAAGAAUGCACGCCUUCUGACUAACAGAUUCUUGCAAUUAGAAGAAAAUUAGCAAAUAGCUCAGUCACGAGCUACCACACAAUGUGGGGUAUUGCAUACUUGUAACAUUGGAUCUACACAUAACAUGGUUCUCUGCGACACGACAUCGCAAGACAAAAGGGCUUAUAGAUCUCCAUAACAUCAUCAUCCUCAAGCUCGUCCCUUUCUUCCUCACAGUUCAGGAGGCGGUGAUGAUGUCACACACAUUUCAAGGACUGUUACACUAGGAGAUCUUUGUCAUAUCAAUCUCAAUAGCGGUGGAAAACGGGCAUGAUUAUCAUGUUUAGGUGUGCGCCACAAAAUCCCAUAAAAAACAAGGAGAGACAAGCAAUGUUGAGAGUGCAGGCCUAAAACUUUGACCUACCCCGCAAAAAUAAUAGGAUGGGGCGAAGAGGGGAGGGCCCGCAGGCACUAAGCCUUUAAAUCUUAAAAAUUGCAAAAAUAAAUGUUAAUGCUCACGCCCCUAACCCCCCCCCCCCCCNNNNNNNNNAAAAAAAAAAAUAGGGCGGGGAAGGGCGAACGUAAUAGAGGGUAAAUACCUAAAACCUUGGCUUGCCCCACACAAAAAAAUGCGGGCAAAUCGGGCAUGCUCGAUGGGCUGGGCUAGUUUUUCCAUCCCUAAUUAUUAUAUAAUAGAUAUGUAAAAUCUAAAGGACCAUGACACCUCUCACCACCAGAGGAACCCAUGUUUGAAGCAUAUUAUUGACUAUAAGAUUCCUAAGUCUCUCGAGAAACCAUUAAAGUUGGACAACUACAUCGAAAUCGGAGAUCCAGUUGAGCACAUUGAACAUGUGGAUACCAUGCUUAACACCUUGCGACGAAUGCGGUGAAAUGCAAAUUUUUUGCUCUAACUCUCAAAGAGGCUGAUAUAACGUGGUUUAAAACCCUAUAAGAUAACUUCAUACAUUCUUGGAAUAAACUGUGUGAUGAGUUCACAAAUAGUUCAAAAUGCAAACGUUGAAAUCGAAGACAAUAUCUAUCCUCAUUGAGACUCACUAGAAAAAUAAUGAAACCCUUUUAGAGUGUAUCUUCCAUUUCAUGAUACUAGCAUUAGAAGUAGUUGGAUCCAAUGACAUGCUCAAAUGAUGGAUAUUUGAUGAAUAACUGAGAAUGAAUUGUAUGUUCCGUGAGAAAUUAGGGUUGAAGGUCGUUGGAAGCAUGAAUGGUCACCUCAGUAGAUCCCAUUGUGUAUUAUUGAAGAAAAGUUAUUAGUUAAAGAUGUGGAGAGAAAUAAAGAGUCAGGGAAUCCCGUGAGUGGAUGAUCCAGAGACAACCAUCAUUGUGAUGAUGCAAAAAAUAUGCUCACCGGGGACCACAAGCUAGGUUAUUUUUUUACGCUAUCCUUAACACUUCGAGAGAAAAUAUUCUACAAGAGUGUGAAAACAUCUUAUUCAAAGAUGUUAGGGUAAGAUUCCCCCACCCCGUCAAGGAGUUUUCCAUAAUAGAUAAGUUAAGGUUUUGCUACUUCCUUCAAAACCAUAUGCAUAACACAAACAAGUACAUUCAUCUAAAAGACACUAUCAUAGAAUUGAUUAAGAAAUGAAGAUUAGGCUAGUAUGCUCAAAAGAAUAAAAGAAAGGAUGAUCAAGGAAAAUGAAAGAGCUCCCCUAGAGAAUCUAAGAGGCAAAGCAACUUAUCAUGAAAGAAAUGGCCCCCCCACUAGGACAAAUUAUCUCUGAAAAAGAUGAUUGAGAUCGUCGAAAAGACCAAAACGAUAAAGAUAAUAACGAAGAUAACGAAGAUAACAAAGAAGUUCAAAGAGGAAAACAUAAAUUCAUAGUUUCCAUUAUAGGUGGAUAUAACUCCAUUGCAUAUAUCACAAGAGGUUUCCCCUUCCUAAAGACAUCAUCUAAGGGGCUUUUGAAAGGGAAUACUUUUUAGGUAAUAAUGGUAGACAAGAAAGAAGAAAAUUCCAAUAAAGAUUAACUAGAAACACCUAUCUUAGGGUUCAUAGAGAGCGAAAAGGUAGGUGAAAUAUCCAAUGAGGCUUAAGCGUAUGUUUGUUUGCGAUAGAAUGGAUGUACUCGAAUUGUACUCUAGCAGUUAACCAUUGCUUGUACGCUCUCACAUGGAGGCUUAAGCUUCGUUCAUGGUAGAACGGAAGUAAAACGUCCUUUUUGAAAAUGUUUUAAACUAAAAAUGAAGCCCAAAGGCAAAAAUGAAUUUGAUGAGGUGUGUUUGUUUUUAUUCUGAAAAAAGAGUCUUGAUUAGAAUCAUACUAAAGUCUAUGAAUAAAGGUGAAUACGAUGAGAAAAUGGGUCAUUCGUCCCGUACCCAAAGAUAUUCAUAAUGAGGAUAUGAAUUCUCCAAUCUCAUCCCUUCUCCAUUGCUUAAGGCUCGUAGCGUACAAUUCUAAUUGCAUUGUUAAUUAUUUUUUUAUUUUAUUCACAAAAUGGUUUUAGUUUUACUCAUAAAGAAAACACAAUGGAAGAGAGAAACCCUAUAAGGUUGAAGUCUAAUCCCAGUCCACCUUCCACAUACGUGUAGAAAAACUUGUCAAUUAUUUGAUUUAAAUUGCACUAAAGUCUAUAAAUAGAGGUGAAUACGAUGAUCAACUGGGUCAUUUGUCCCGUACCCAAAAAUAUUCAGAAUGUGGAUAGGAAUUGUCCACUCUCACUCCUUCUCUAUUACUUAAGGCUCAUGACGUGCAAUUUACAUCAUAACUGAUGAGUGUUGAAGUUGAGUGUCCUUGCAGCUUCCUGUGAUGAAAGGUUGCUUUUGAAGAAAGAAGACUUGACAAUCAAUUGGAAUUGAAUUGUGCUAAAGUCUAUGAAUAGAGGAGAAUAUGAUGAGCAAAUGGGUCAUCUGUCAUAUAUCCAAAGAUAUUCAGAAUGAGGAUAGGAAUUCUCCAUUCUCACUCCUUCUCUAUUGCUUAAGGCUCAUGGCACACAACUUGAUUUUUGAUUGACAAGUGUUGAGUUCACCUUUGUUGUGCUUGAACAGUAGUCAAGUCUAUCUUGUACUGAUUAGAGUUGAAUGAAGUCUUGAAUCUUGAGGUCUUGUAAAAUUCUUGAGAUCCAAUAUAUCUAGUACAACUUGAAAACAAGGGACUUUCCCUAUCAAGUGAUCAAGGGUCUUUUGUCACUUGAAUAUGCUUGGGGAAUUGAACACAGUCAAAGGAUUUAAUUGGUCAAAGCGAAUUUUGAUUAACUUAAUUAGUUGGGGUGGAAAAUUAGUUGAAAAUUAAUGCACAAAGAGAUAAGGAAGGACUAGCAACCUUGGGUUUACUCAACUGAAAUAAAUUCUAAAGUCUUAAACUUAAGGGGUCAUGUCAUGGGUUAGUAUGCCAUACAAUCAUAGAAUCAGAUCAAAGUUCUAACAAGAAACAAAUGAUUAAAAAUGCCAAUUUAAACCUAAAAGAUUAUGAGCAAGAUUAAUUCUAAUCAAAUAAAAUUCUAAGUCAAGAAUUCAAAACAUGAAUUAAAAUCUACACAUGGAAGAAUUAAGAUCAAAUCACACCAUGUAAUAAACAAUCAUCAUGUACAAUUGACAAUUUUAACCCUAAAACAAACUAGGUUAAAACAUAUAUUUCUAUCAUUUUCAAUUAAUCAAGAAUUAAUCCACAUCAUUUAAUUCUAACUAACUCAAUUAAUCAUGUAAAAAAACUAAUUAAUUUCUAUUAACAACAUGCAUCAAUAUGAUCAAUCAUCGUGAAAGAAAAAAAUUAAAAGAAAACAAAUAAAAAAACAAGCAAAAGUGAGUACAAGCAUGGGGGUAUGCUUUAGCAAAAUAGGGUGCAAUUAGUAGAACCCGUGCAUGGCCCAAACAAGACCCAUUACAACUUUAGCAAAGUAUGAACAAGGGAGGUAUGAAGAUAUGCAUGUGUGAAUAGUUGGAUCUAUGGGUCUGGCUACACGGAGCCCACGACAAGGCAAUGCAAAAUGAAAUGAUUCACCAUCCAAAAACACAUGCCAAUCAAGAACACGUUAAUCACUUUAAACAAUUCAAACUUAAAAUUAAAGUUAACUUCUCCCUCCAACUAACCUCACCCUCCCCUCCACCGCGCCAGAGGUCACCUCCUGCAGCGCCGGAGACCUAACGUCCAAAAAAAUCACAUCACCUUCCUUACCUCAUUGACCUGAAUCCAAAAACCACCAUGGAACAAGCUAAUUCUUCAUCAGCAGUCUGAAUCGAAGCAAUUCCUUGAAGAACCCUAACACUCUAAACUAAAAGUUAAAUCACGCACGUUAGAAAUUAAAGCCAUAGAGGUUAGGGCUUCGAUUCCCCUAACCGAAACCUACAUCCUGGUAACCAGCCCAAAGAAAACAGCUAAGAAAGGGAUGAUACUCAUCGGAGAAGACGCGGAGGUCACCGGAAUCAGGUAAACUCUUAUGAACCUUUCUUCUUCUUCUUCUCGAUUCUCUUCUUCUUUUUUCGAGAUCUUCUGUGACUAAGUAAUGGUUCUGAGAUUGAGCCUUAGGAGUGUGAAAUUAUGUGUGUGUGUGUGGUGGUUGUGUGUGUUGUGUGUGUGAGAGAGAGAGAGAGAGAGAGAGAGAGAGAGAGAGAGAGGUUGAAGAGAGAGAGAGGAUGAAGAGAGAGAGAGGAUGAAGCUUUGAGUCUAGGUCGAUGAAAAAAAUGAAGAGUCUUAUGAAAUGAUUGAGGGUAUGAAUUUAUAGGAUUGGGGAUUAAUAGAGUAGUCUAAAUCUGCUAAAUCGUUGAGAUGAGAAGUUGUUGGAGGUGAUUCACGAAGUUAGUUUCAGUUAGAAUUGAAAGUUAGUUAUGUUUGUUUUAGUUAGAUUCAGUUAAGAUUUUGUUAAAGGGAAAAAUUCCAGUUAAGAUGAAAUGGAUAAAUUAGGGGGAACGGUUCAGUUAGAGUGAAUUGAGCUUAAUGUGAAGUGAAUGAAGUGGAUAUAUAAACUUGAGUGGAAUAAGUUAAAUGCUUUGUAACUGAUAUUUUGAAUCACUGAGUUUUAAUUUUAUGUUAAAUGUAAAAAUGAGUUGUGUUAGUUCAGUUAAUUGUGAAACUCUCGAUUUUCUAUUAGACUGUGAGGUUAAUUGGUGUUAGGUGAUGUCAAUCAGUUAGAUGUAAAUGGAAUUAUAGUUUAAUUGCAGUUAGUUAAUGAAGCCUUAUUGUGUUAGAUGGAAAAGUUCAGUAGUACCCUGUUAUGAUUUGCUGAAUUGCUAUAAUGUUGGAUUUGUGAAUUAUGUUGUAGGAUGACUUGUACUACUGCUCAAUUUGAUUAAAUGGACAGUUCAUUUUGUUGUUGUGAUGUAUUGAACGACUAUGAUUAUUAUAUGGCCUGUUGUUGCUUGUUUAUGAUCUACUGUGUUGGAUGGUAGGCAAUGUUGCACUGAGCUGUUAGGCUUGAAAUGAAUGUUGUUUGGUUGCAUUAUUAUAGUGUGUAUGUGACUGUUUUUUACUGUUAUGUGUUGCAUGAUUUAUGCUGCUUGCUCGCAUAUGCUUGGAAUUAUGAAUGAAGGUAUGAUGUGAAUGUUAGGUUAAUGCUUUUGGUUAUGCUGGUCUUGAAAUGGUAAUGGUUGUCAUGUUUUUCAUGUGUUGUAAUGCAAUGUAUGGCCUUGGCAUGCUUAUUGUUUGGAAAUGUUUUGGUCUUGAAUGCAUAUAAUGGAAAUGUUUGGAAAUGCUAUGGAUUAAAAUGUUAGGGUUGACUUUGGAAAGGGUUUGAAUUGGUUGAUGUUAUGGUUGAAAUGUUCAAAAAUAACACAUUGGUUUUUGGUUUUGGUUUUGUAGGAAAUGGAUGGACCAAUGCAAGGAUUCCUUGUUCUUGAAGAAACAAUUGGAGAUUAGGUUUUAGGAAUGGGAAAAAAUAUGAGUUGAAUUUGGUCAACUGGUUGACCAAAAAGUCAAUAGUUGACCAAAAAUAAACUUAUGCAAACAUGUAGUUUUAUUUGUAAUAUUUUCAAUGCAAUGUGUUGUGGACAAUGUAAUCAAUGAAUCUUAUAAAUGCAAUGUACUUCUUAGUUUAAAAUGUUCUAAUGAAACAAUGACCAUUUUCAAAUUCAAUAUGAACAAAUGCCUUAGAUGAAUUCUAGAAAAAAAUUGGAUGAGA